rnacentral:rRNA from 1 species
GCCAGACUCCUACGGGAGGCAGCAGUGGGGGAUAUUGCACAAUGGGGGGAACCCUGAUGCAGCGACGCCGCGUGGGUGAGGAAGUAUUUCGGUAUGUAAAGCCCUAUCGGCAGGGAAGAAAUUGGACGGUACCUGACUAAGAAGCCCUGGCUAACUACGUGCCAGCAGCCGCGGGAAUACGUAGGGGGCAAGCGUUAUCCGGAUUUACUGGGUGUAAAGGGAGCGUAGACGGCCAGACAAGUCAGAAGUGAAAGCCCAGGGCUCAACCCUGGGACUGCUUUUGAAACUGCCGGGCUGGAGUGCAGGAGAGGUAAGCGGAAUUCCUAGUGUAGCGGUGAAAUGCGUAGAUAUUAGGAGGAACACCAGUGGCGAAGGCGGCUUACUGGACGGCAACUGACGUUGAGGCCCGAAAGCGUGGGGAGCGAACAGGAUUAGAUACCCCCGUACA